CGCUUCUGGCAAACCAGAGCAGCGCACGGAAACGCCAUUUCUGCAGCUGGAAGAGAAAUGGAGAGAGGAGAACACAUUUGCUGAUAAGAGUUUGGCUCGGGGUACUAAAAAUGAUCUCACUGGCCCUAGCAUGUGGGAGGUCAUUUGAGACCUUCUGGCUUAUAUCAGGAAGUUAAUAUCAACCAAGGACGUGAUCCAAAACUCAGCUGCAUUGCACUGAUGCCUAUCGAACCACUACCAUGGGCGACUGAGCCCAACCAAACCCAAAGCACACAUUCACUGCAGAAACCGCAUAGCUCACAGACCACAACAUACAACCACCAGAGGUGUUUGCAGUGAGUGAGAGUGAUUGCAAGAGAUCUCACGGGCUUGUGCAGGCUGUGAGCUCUUUGUGCCGGCAAUCAACCGCAGAGUUGUUCUGUCUUUGGGUCACAGUCUCUGGCCUCCUAAGGGCUAAACUGCUACAUGGCCCUGCCUUUCAAUGCAAAGGGGUUGGUUUGUUUUUGAACAAAUACCCAGCAUAGAGGGAGGGGAGGAGGCUGUAACCAUCUCCCCCCUGUGAGUCUAAUCCGGGUUGCACAUGUAAUUUGCAGAUUUUAAAAGCUGCUGAAGGAAAUGGGAGGUUUCCCCACCCCUCAAUGCAAAUUGAAACACAGGAAGUUUGACAUGGAUCAGGACCACAAAAAGAGGGGGUAAGUGGGCGAGAAGGCUUCUUAACCCGCAUUACUAGGAUCCUGACCAGGAACUUGUCCCCAAAGUUGGCAAUUUGCAUUAAGAAACAGAUACAUCUGCAUUUAAAAACGCAGCUGUGUAGCUAAAGUAAUGUGUAGUUGGGCCCCAAGAAGCAGGGGUGUGUGAGAGGAAGGUCCAUGGCUCACAACCCAGGCUCCAAGCAUGAAACACAGAAGGCAGGAAAGAAGGGGAAAUCAGCACAGCAACUGUGUGGCUUGUCGGGGACAACCUAAAAUAUUACCUUCCUGGUCCUCUUUUACCCCUUAGGCUCAGAGCAGGUUAACAACCCUUUUAAUAUUUAUUUAUUUUCUGUAACGUAGGCUGCAGGCUAGAGAGCUGUAUCACCCACUUGCUGCACCCAGAUGCCGUCAUGGUUGUUUGGGGUGCCUGGCCUGAUAGAUGAUAAAUUGGGUCUAAGUGGGGUGGCAGGGACGUAGAAGUUGAACAAAUAAAUGCCCAAGGGGCCAUGGUGUUGAUGGAAAGCAAUUGCGUGUCAUUUCAGGACCAGUUUUGAGCAAGCUUCUCCUCUUUCCUGUUCUUUUCCACGGGGGCACCCUAGUGCAUGACAAAUGUCUGCCCUUCCAGUUACCAAACUACAGGCAGGCUGUGCUGCCUAGCUCAAGGCAGGUCAGGUGUCCGUGUCUCCUCCAAACGUUUGUAAGGGAACUCAGCUAGAUGUAUCAUAGGAAGGAAUUCUGGAAAAGGAAGUUUUAUUACUUUGGGUUUUCCCACCCCUUCAUGUAGGACCCUUCCACUUUCCCCCAAGGGAUUCAGGGUGGGGGUGGGGAGGGGUAUAUGUGCGUGAAUCCCACUCUGUCCGAAAUUCCGUCCUGUUUGUUGUCGUGUCUCAAGUCAAUCUCUGGAAAGAAGGGAGGAGUCUUGUCUGGAGGAGUUCCUAUUUCUGUAACAUGUACUACUGGUCAGUUUUAAAUUAUAUGCUGAAAUUAGAUCUAUAUUUGGAAAAGAAACAAAUCUUUUUAAAAUAACAAUAAAGAAAAUGUGAAACUUUA